ACAGGCAUACACGACAGAAGACAAACAGGGAUUCGAAUUUUGCUGACCUGGCAAAAGAAAAUGGAGGGAACGCUAAAGAAGCACGUGAGGGACUCGUGAUAGGGUUUAAAAUGGAAUAAGAAAACCCCAGACAUUCUCCAACCCUGUUCGUCCUCAAAUUAGAAGCUAAUCUGAAAUUGGAAACCUGGUCCCUGUUAAACGAGCUUCUCAAAAUAAUUUCCCAGGGAAGGUAGAACUCCGGCGAUCAAUCGAAAGCCACAGGUCCGACGUUUGACGACGAUGAACAGCGAUUUCCUUUUGCAUCCCCUUCCCCAUUUCAAGGACUGUUUCUCCCAAAUCACGCCCAAACUGAAACCCUCACAAACGCAAAACGUUCUCCGGCCUCACCAUCUCCGACCACACUUCAGAUGACGGUACCAUCGCCACUCAGACAGCACUUCCAUCGUGGGUUUGGAACGAAGGUUAUCGUCGCUCUGGGGUCACUUCCGUCCAAAUUUAACCGUCAUCCUAGAUCACCAUCACCGAUCGGCGACAAAGAAUGGGCGGAAAGAAUACUUAAAUGUGUCACAGUUGCAGAGCUAAGGUUCAUUUCUUUGCCUAAUAAUAUCCAAGGAAAUGUCAAUGCCCGGAAUGCAAGCAUGAAUUUGAGAAGUGUUUAGUGAUAAAGAAACAAACAACGAAUAAAGGGCGAUUAUAUAUUUGUUGCAGUGCUAAUUGCAGAUUUUGGAUUGGAUUAUCAAAGAAGGAUCGAGCGAUCAAUCGUCUAAUGAUAACAGUUGACCAUUAAACUUUGUAACGAAUGAAAAUGUUGAAGCAAUGUUUGAGACGUUGGAAUCUCGGGUUCGACUGAAUGACGAAGAAAACCUACAUAUUUCGGUGAAUGUCAAAAUAUGCAAGGCCAAUUGUAGUGCAGAAGCGAAUGCAAAAGGGAAGCAGUCGAUGUAAUUAUUAGACAUAAAUUUGCUCGUCGACAUAACUUUUGUGUAUGUAGCAUUAUCUCGAGUAGUCGAGUUAGUUAUCGGUAUCUUCAUGUAGCUAUGGUCUACUGAUCAAUUUGGAUUAGGAAUUUGUAGACAUGAUUGCCACCAUUGUGAAGACAGAAUUAGGAAUUUUUAAUGCUAACAUGCAUUUC